GGGUCGUUAGCUCAGUUGGUAGAGCAGUUAACUUUUAAUCAAUUGGUCGCAGGUUCGAAUCCUGCAAGACCCACCA
rnacentral:tRNA from 1 species